rnacentral:ncRNA from 1 species
UUGGCACCUCGAUGUCGGCUCUUCGCCACCUGGAGCUGUAGGUGGUUCCAAGGGUUGGGCUGUUCGCCCAUUAAUGCGGUACGUGAGCUGGGUUCAGAACGUCGUGAGACAGUUCGGUCCAUAUCCGGUGUGGGCGUUAGAGCAUUGAGAGCACCUUUCCCUAGUACGAGAGGACCGGGAANNACGCACCUCUGGUGUACCAGUUAUCGUGCCUACGGUAAACGCUGGGUAGCCAAGUGCGGAGAGGAUAACUGCUGAAAGCAUAUAAGUAGUAAGCCCACCCCAAGAUGAGUGCUC